GGGAAGGUGCCAGAGUGGACGAUUGGGGCGGUCUCGAAAACCGCUGCGGGGCUUGCUCCGCCGUGGGUUCGAAUCCCACCCUUCCCG
rnacentral:tRNA from 2 species